rnacentral:rRNA from 1 species
ACCCCGCACAAGCGGUGGAUCAUGUUGUUUAAUUCGAUGAUACGCGAAGAACCUUACCAGGUCUUGACAUCCCCCGCGAUGCUUUAGAGAUAAAGCGGAGGUAUUCGGGGAGACAGGUGGUGCAUGGUUGUCGUCAGCUCGUGUCGUGAGAUGUUGGGUUAAGUCCCGCAACGAGCGCAACCCCUAUUGCUAGUUACCAUCAUUAAGUUGGGGACUCUAGCGAGACUGCCAGUGAUAAACUGGAGGAAGGUGGGGAUGACGUCAAAUCAUCAUGCCCCUUAUGACCAGGGCUACACACGUACUACAAUGGCCGAUACAAAGGGCAGCGACACUGCGAGGUGAAGCCAAUCCCGUAAAAUCGGUCUCAGUCCGGAUUGGAGUCUGCAACUCGACUCCAUGAAGUUGGAAUCGCUAGUAAUCGUGGAUCAGCAUGCCACGGUGAAUACGUUCCCGGGCCUC